UACAGAGGGUGCGAGCGUUAAUCGGAAUUACUGGGCGUAAAGCGUGCGCAGGCGGUUUUGUAAGACAGAUGUGAAAUCCCCGGGCUCAACCUGGGAACUGCGUUUGUGACUGCAAGACUCGAGUGCGGCAGAGGGGGGUGGGAAUCCACGUGUAGCAGUGAAAUGCGUAGAGAUGUGGAGGAACACCGAUGGCGAAGGCAGCCCCCUGGGUCGACACUGACGCCUCAUGCACGAAAGCGUGGGGAGCAAACAGG
rnacentral:rRNA from 1 species